rnacentral:rRNA from 1 species
UACGUAGGGUGCGAGCGUUAAUCGGAAUUACUGGGCGUAAAGCGUGCGCAGGCGGUUCGCCAAGUCAGGUGUGAAAUCCCCGGGCUUAACCUGGGAAUUGCGCUUGAAACUAGCGGGCUUGAGUGUGGUAGAGGGGGGUGGAAUUCCACGUGUAGCAGUGAAAUGCGUAGAGAUGUGGAGGAACACCGAUGGCGAAGGCAGCCCCCUGGGUCAACACUGACGCUCAUGCACGAAAGCGUGGGGAGCAAACAGG